UCUGCUGUGUAUGAUGACUGAAACUUUUUUCCCCAGCAGAUCGACUGUGGUGACUUAAACUUGAAUUAAGCCAAACCGUCUGAUACGCAGA